UGGAUGUCAGGUCUUGGGCCCAGCCUAUCGCGCACGUUGGUCCCUAAAUUCAAUCUGGAUGGGAAACUUCGUCUGCUCUGAGUGUGGCUUGCGGAUGCUUGCGACAUGUCCGCGAGCUGAUCUCGUUGUUGCACAUUUCCUUGUCUGCUUACUCCUGCUCGACCUGCUUGGUUCCCACCGAACUGCCUAUCGGCGCUUUCGUUU
rnacentral:lncRNA from 1 species